CUGUGUUGGUUUCUGUUAUUGACAUCUUAGAUACAUGAGGAGGCUAGAAAGUUCUCCUACCAGACUGGUGGAUCCCCAAUCAAUUAGCAGACACUAGUUGCGAAGGAGGAUAUAAACAAUUGGAUUGAUCGGAGAUUGUCACUGCCAGUUUGUGAGUGCACGACACAGCAUGCUGCAUGCAUUCCACUAUAGGAGCAACAGUGGAAAACAAUGACAAAUGGUUACCUCAGGAAGCUUGCCAUGUUGCACGACACAAAAAAACCCAUCAUAUAGUGAUUUGAGGAGCGCGAAUCCCCAGGAACGGGAACGAGCACUCAGAUCCUUCCAGAGUGGUGCUACUCCAAUUCUAGUUGGUGGUCAUAGUUUUCAUAGUGAUUCCUCUAUCAGGAGCAGUCGAGACGGUGAUUAUUGACCUUGAUAUUAAAUGUCACGAUCCGAGUUUGAUGGACUAACCGACGUAUAACUCCGUUUGAUCUAAAUCAUUGAUUAAAAUAUUUGAACCAGAGUUAUCGU